rnacentral:rRNA from 1 species
GACGAACGCUGGCGGCGUGCUUAACACAUGCAAGUCGAACGGAGAAGCUCCAGCUUGCUGGAGUGGAUCAGUGGCGAACGGGUGAGUAACACGUGAGCAACCUGCCCCUGACUCUGGAAUAAGAGCUGGAAACGGCGUCUAAUACUGGAUACGAGAAGGGUCCGCAUGGGGACUUUCUGGAAAGUUUGUCGGUUGGGGAUGGGCUCGCGGCCUAUCAGCUUGUUGGUGAGGUAAUGGCUCACCAAGGCGACGACGGGUAGCCGGCCUGAGAGGGCGACCGGCCACACUGGGACUGAGACACGGCCCAGACUCCUACGGGAGGCAGCAGUGGGGAAUAUUGCACAAUGGGCGAAAGCCUGAUGCAGCGACGCCGCGUGAGGGAUGACGGCCUUCGGGUUGUAAACCUCUUUCAGCAGGGAAGAAGCGAAAGUGACGUUACCUGCAGAAGAAGCACCGGCUAACUACGUG